GAACCGUCCAAACGUUAUUCGGAAUCACUGGGCUUAAAGGGUGCGUAGGCGGCCCGGCAAGUUGGGUGUGAAAUCCCUCGGCUCAACCGAGGAAUUGCGCCCAAAACUGCCGGACUUGAGGGAGACAGAGGUGAGUGGAACUAUGGGUGGAGCGGUGAAAUGCGUUGAUAUCCGUAGGAACACCGGUGGCGAAAGCGGCUCACUGGGUCUCUUCUGACGCUGAGGCACGAAAGCUAGGGGAGCGAACGGGAUUAGAUACCCCGGGUAGUCCUAGCUGUAAACGAUGAGCACUAGAUCGUAGAGAUCUCCAUGUCUUUACGGUCGAACUGAAAAGGUUAAGUGCUCCGCCUGGGGGAGUAUGGCCGCAAGGCUG
rnacentral:rRNA from 1 species